CAAAUAAAAGCUUUAAUAGCAUUUUAGUUACAUUAAAAAGAUUGUUGUAGAAUCAAUAUUAUUUG
rnacentral:tRNA from 1 species